rnacentral:rRNA from 1 species
GAUGAACGCUGGCGGCGUGCCUAAUACAUGCAAGUCGAGCGAACAGACGAGGAGCUUGCUCCUCUGACGUUAGCGGCGGACGGGUGAGUAACACGUGGAUAACCUACCUAUAAGACUGGGAUAACUUCGGGAAACCGGAGCUAAUACCGGAUAAUAUAUUGAACCGCAUGGUUCAAUAGUGAAAGACGGUUUUGUUGUCACUUAUAGAUGGAUCCGCGCCGCAUUAGCUAGUUGGUAAGGUAACGGCUUACCAAGGCAACGAUGCGUAGCCGACCUGAGAGGGGGGUUGGCCACACUGGAACUGAAACACGGGCCAGACUCCUACGGGAGGGAGCAAUAGGGGAACUUCCGGAAAUGGGGGAAACCUGAAGGGACAACGGCGGGUGAGGGAUGAAGGUCUUCGGAACCGAAAAAUCUGUUAUUUGGGAAAAAAAAAUGGUUAAGUAACUAUGCACGGCUUGACGGGACCUAAUCAGAAAACCAAGGCUAAAUACGGG